rnacentral:lncRNA from 1 species
CAGCAUUCCUUCUGCGUGGAACAUGCCAACCCUUGUCUGCUUUGACUUUGUAAAACUGCAUGAGACGGCCGGGCGCGGUGGCUCACACCUGUAAUCCCAGCACUUUGGGAGGCCGAGGCAGACAGAUCACCUGAGGUCAGGAGUUUGAGGCCAGCCUGGCCAGCAUGGUGAAACCCUGUCUCUACUAAAAAUACAAAAAAUUAGCCAGGUGUGGUGGCGGGCGCCUGUAAUCCUAGCUAUUCGGGAGGCUGAGGUAGGAGAAUCGCCUGAACCCAGGAAGCAGAGGUUGCAGUGAGCUGAGGUCAUGCCAUUGCACUCCAACCUGGGCUACAAGAGUGAAACUCCGUCUCAAAAAGAAAAAGAAAAGAAAAUGACUGCAUAUGACUCCCCAGCGAAGCCCUCCCUGAUUGGCGUCUGCUGAGGCCAAUGCCUCAGCAGAAGGCAGCAUGCCUGGGCUUUGGAGUCGGACCUGGAUACAAAUCCUUGUUUUGCCGGUAUGACCUUGCCAAGUCUUCUUUCCUGCAGGGCAGAAGGCGGCAGCAGCUCUCCCUGAACUGGCAGUCUGGCUUCUCUUGCCCCAGGGUCUGUUUCUGCUCCUUGGACGGCAGGCACAUGUGGGAACUGUACCCUCUUCAGCCAUGAGCCCCUGUUCUGCCCACAUCUAGCCCAUCUUCCAGAUGGACAGACAGGCUGUGGUCGUUGCCAAACCCCUGAUUCUGGCCCUGUCCGCAGUCAGAGGGAUGGCAAUUUGUAAGCUACAGACUAUUGCGAAUCAUUCACUUGGAGACUUCGCCAAGACCACUGGCACCAGGCUCCGUAGACCCUCGGGAAGAGCAUGGUCUGGCAGGCAGACUGGAUGUGGCCACAGAUAACAUCCCCUAAGGGGAGAGCGUGAGCCUGUAGGCCAGGAUGCCACCACUUUCUCCUUUGUCCUUCCAGAGAGAGCCUGUGGCUAUGCACGCUUGCUGCUACAGAGGGUAGUGCUCUAUACCUCCUGGGCUCACUUACUGACUUCAGUCUUAGGGCUUAUUGCAACUGGUACAUAACGAUCAACCUCAUACUUUGUAAUGGUUAAGUAAUAUUCCAUCAUAUGGAUGUGUCAUUUAUUUACCAUUCUGGUUAAAUAACCAAGAUGUUUAGUUUCCAGUUUUUCCAGGAACAUCGUGCCCCUCCAUCAUUUGCCCACCUGGAAGGAUAACUACAGGAUAAGCAGCUCUUAGAACUGGAAUUGCUGAGUUAACUGCUCUGUGCAUUUCCUUGCUUUUUCUUGCUUUUCUUUUCUUUCUUCUUCUUUUAUUUAUUUAUUUUUUUGGGUAAAUUUUUAUUGAAGUAUAGCAUAGCGUAGAUAUAGGAAAGUGGAAAAACUUAAAUGUACAAUUCAAUGAAUUUUCACUAGGCAAACACACUGUGUCACCAGCACCCAGAUUUAGAAACAGAAUAUUACCAGAAUCCCAAAAGCCCCUGGGCUGCCUUGCAGUCACUAUUUACCCUUUCCCUGAUCCCCUGCAUAGGAUAAUACUUACCAUGGCCUCUGACACCGUCGGUUGGUUUUGGAUGUAUUGACACUAUUUUUGUGUGUGACACUUUUAUAAUACAAAGAAAAUCAUACAGUAUGUUCA